AUUGAACGCUGGCGGCAGGCUUAACACAUGCAAGUCGAGCGGGGGAAGGUAGCUUGCUACCGGACCUAGCGGCGGACGGGUGAGUAAUGCUUAGGAAUCUGCCUAUUAGUGGGGGACAACAUCUCGAAAGGGAUGCUAAUACCGCAUACGUCCUACGGGAGAAAGCAGGGAAUCUUCGGACCUUGCGCUAAUAGAUGAGCCUAAGUCGGAUUAGCUAGUUGGUGGGGUAAAGGCCUACCAAGGCGACGAUCUGUAGCGGGUCUGAGAGGAUGAUCGGCCAGGCUGGGACUGGGACACGGCCCAGACUCCUACGGGAGGAAGCAGUGGGGAAUAUUGGACAAGGGGGGAACCCUGAUCCAGCCAUGCCGCGUGUGUGAAGAAGGCCUUAUGGUUGUAAAGCACUUUAAGCGAGGAGGAGGCUACUCUAGUUAAUACCUAGGGAUAGUGGACGUUACUCGCAGAAUAAGCACCGGCUAACUCUGUGCCAGCCGCCGCCGUAA
rnacentral:rRNA from 1 species